rnacentral:rRNA from 1 species
CCCGCCGGCGACCGGCGCACGGGUGAGUAACACGUAUGAAACCUGCCCGUAGCAGGGGGAUAAGCGGAAGAAAUUCCGUCUAAUACCGCGUAACAACCCAUGGAGGCAUCUCUGUGGGUUUAAAGGAAGCGAUUCCGGCUACGGAUGGUCAUGCGGCGCAUUAGCUAGACGGCGGGGUAACGGCCCACCGUGGCGACGAUGCGUAGGGGUUCUGAGAGGAAGGUCCCCCACACUGGUACUGAGACACGGACCAGACUCCUACGGGAGGCAGCAG